CUACUUAAAGCUAUGAGCAUUUAAAUGUUAAUUAAAAGAAAACUUUACCAACAAGUUAAGUAGA
rnacentral:tRNA from 1 species